GUUCACGACAUAAGUCAGAUCUUAAGGUAGAAUUUUGGAACGGUCGUCGAAAUUCUAUCCUAGUUCGGGUGUUAGCUUCGGGUCCUAAAUCGAUUAUUCGCGUUGAUUUUCAAGAACUUUUUUACUAAAGAGUAUUUUCUAGUCUCAAGUGAAGAUAUUUUCUGGAAGAUGUUUCAUUUACCAACCAAAUAUUAAAAAAGAAUUCUACUCACCAAAUAACAUGAGAAAAUAACUUAAAAAUUCAUUUAUUUUUUUCAAGAAAACAUUAUGUAGGAAAGCACUUUUCAAGAAACACAUUUUCCUUCGUAGAAAACACACCUUUAGUUUAACUAUCUACCUUUAUUUUUAAGCAUGUAUGAGAUAUAUCUAUUUUUGUAGGCUGGUAAAAUUCAUUGUUUCAAUACACUAUGUCCCGGCUUUGUACAAGUAAACCAUGACUUCCCUCUUGAUUAUUCAUUCAUGCAUAUUAUUUCACAACGUGGAGGAAAAAUUUGGAGUGUGGAAGUGCACAUUGAUCGGGACUUAUCCGGUAAUUGGUGGCUUUUAAUGAGACAAGACUUUACGCGAAUAGGUUUCUGGCCACAAAGUCUCUUCACUGACUUGAAAAGUUUUGCUACGAAUGUUGAUUGGGGAGGAGUUGUAUAUAGUCCACCAGGUGUACCAAAACCUCCAAUGGGCUCAAGCUAUUUUCCUAUUGAAAACAGUUCCUAUGAUGCUUAUUGCGAUGAUCUUACAAUUAUCAACGAGAAAGGAGAAACAAUUGAAGUAGAUACAACAAUCACACAUACCGAUAAUCCGUACAAGGUUGAAUUUAUACAACUUUCACGUGGUGCAAAACACAUAUAUUUUGUUCUUUAUGGGGGACCGAGUGAAAGUACACAUGUUUAAUAGUAAAGAAGUCCAAAUCCUGAAAGAAGUUGAAGAAAAUUGUUCCUAUUUGUUCUAUAUACACCUUUAGUUUGAAUGUUAUAUGGUCUUCCAAAGAAAUGCAAAGGAAAAUUGUCCAAAA